rnacentral:tRNA from 1 species
GGUGGGGUUCCCGAGCGGCCAAAGGGAGCAGACUGUAAAUCUGCCGUCAUCGACUUCGAAGGUUCGAAUCCUUCCC